rnacentral:lncRNA from 1 species
CUUACACCAUAUUUCCUUUGAAGUGCCCUACACCACAAGUUUCAAUUUUUAUAUUAUGUUUCUAACAAAGUGAACUUAAAAACUCUUAAUCUUUUUAAUCUCACCCAUCCUUUCUCUUCCACUCAUCAUAAAUUUCUCAAGCCACCCAAUGAACCCUAUUUUUUUCCCAAAACAAUAUUUUCCUAAAAAGAAAAAAAAAAGAAAAAAAAAACCGACAAGACUGAUUUUAGGAGGACCACUCUAUACCUCUCCCCAAUAAAUGUAUUUACAAUCCCAUAAAGCAAAUUUACCACUUUCCUUAGAGCUCUUGCAUCACACAAAAAUUUAGAAGAAAUUUAAUGCUAGUUAAUGUGUUUAUUAAUGUGUAGCACAAAACUUUCUCUAAUAACACCAUGAAAAAACCAACAAUUUCACCAAUUACAUGCAUUAGUCCAAC